AUGAUGAUAUCCAUUCUAAUAUGACGUGCUUCUUUCGCUUUGUAAACAACACCGUGAUAAAAUUCUCGAUAUAUCUAUACUUAGCGCAGACUCCAAGAUGUACACAAAUGGCUGUUUAAAUAUGCCUCCCACGUAAAUCCACAUGUAUCGUAACCUAUGUGUAAACGGUUGUGGAUUUCGCUGUGUUAACAAUUACAAUUGAAUAAAACCCUACAGAACAUUUCUUCUGUUUCUGAUGCAUAACAAAAAGAAUUUACACAUUAGAGAACGGAAAAAUGGACAAAAACAAAGUAAAUUAAAAUUCCGCGAAAUUCCAGUAAUGAUUUUUGCGCAUUAACGUCAUUUCAAAACAUGACAUCAUACGAAUGAAAACGUCAAAGCUGAAGGUUUUUCUAUUGCGUUUACCUUCUAAACUCGGAUACAAUUGCAUUAAAAUAAAGUAUUCAGGUAGGUGUUGCUUGUUUUCUGUUCUAUUGCAUUAUUCUCACAUUUACUGAUUUCAGCAAGUCAACAUGGCGGCUCCUUGGUUACAACAUGUCAACAGUGAAUUUGACGGUAGCUUACGAUAAAAAAUGCAAAUCUAAAAUUGCAAAUGUUGGGUUUACUGAGAAGUAAAAAAAGUAAUCACAUUUUUUUUUCU
rnacentral:lncRNA from 1 species